UACAGAGGGGGCAAGCGUUAUUCGGAAUUAUUGGGCGUAAAGGGCGCGUAGGCGGCCUGACAAGUGGAAGGUGAAAUCCCUCGGCUCAACUGAGGAACUGCCCUCCAAACUGUUUGGCUUGAGACCGGGAGAGGUGAGUGGAAUUCCCAGUGUAGCGGUGAAAUGCGUAGAUAUCGGGAGGAACACCUGUGGCGAAGGCGGCUUUCUGGGCCCUACCUGACGCUGAGACGCGAAAGCGUGGGGAGCGAACCGGG
rnacentral:rRNA from 1 species